rnacentral:rRNA from 1 species
UUUUAUUUGAGAGUUUGAUCCUGGCUCAGGAUGAACGCUGGCGGCGUGCCUAACACAUGCAAGUUGAGCGAUUUACUUCGGUAAAGAGCGGCGGACGGGUGAGUAACGCGUGGGUAACCUACCCUGUACACACGGAUAACAUACCGAAAGGUAUGCUAAUACGGGAUAAUAUAUUUGAGAGGCAUCUCUUAAAUAUCAAAGGUGAGCCAGUACAGGAUGGACCCGCGUCUGAUUAGCUAGUUGGUAAGGUAACGGCUUACCAAGGCGACGAUCAGUAGCCGACCUGAGAGGGUGAUCGGCCACAUUGGAACUGAGACACGGUCCAAACUCCUACGGGAGGCAGCAGUGGGGAAUAUUGCACAAUGGGCGAAAGCCUGAUGCAGCAACGCCGCGUGAGUGAUGAAGGCCUUCGGGUCGUAAAACUCUGUCCUCAA